rnacentral:rRNA from 1 species
CUUGGUCAUUUAGAGCAAGUAAGAGUCGUAACGAGGUCUCCGUAGGUGAACCUGCGGAGGGAUCAUUACUGAGUUUUUAACUCUCCAAACCAUGUGAACUUACCACUGUUGCCUCGGUGGUCGGUGCUGGAAACAGUGCUGCCACCGGUGGACUACUAAACUCUGUUAAUUUUUGUCAAAUCUGAAUCAAACUAAGAAAUAAGUUAAAACUUUCAACAACGGAUCUCUUGGUUCUGGCAUCGAUGAAGAACGCAGCGAAAUGCGAUAAGUAAUGUGAAUUGCAGAAUUCAGUGAAUCAUCGAAUCUUUGAACGCACAUUGCGCCCAUUAGUAUUCUAGUGGGCAUGCCUGUCCGAGCGUCAUUUCAACCCUUAAGCCUAGCUUAGUGUUGGGAGACUGCCUAAUACGCAGCUCCUCAAAACCAGUGGCGGAGUCUGUUCGUGCUCUGAGCGUAGUAAUUUUUUAUCUCGCUUCUGCAAGCCGGCCAGACGACAGCCAUAAACCGCACCCUCUCGGGGGGCACUUUUUAAUGGUUGACCUCGGAUCAGUAGGAAUACCCGCUG